rnacentral:lncRNA from 1 species
GCUCGUCACCUCAUACAUGUAUAGCUCCUGUAACACAUAGUACGUAGCAGCUAUAGCACAUACAGGGUAAAUUCCUUCUUACAAUGUUAAACAUGAGACUUACCUUACUCCAAAAUCUGAUAAUCUGCUCCAUGGCUCUCUAACACCUCAAAUCAAUGUCAAACGAUCCAAAACUAGUCAAAGAAUGUACAAAUCAAUCAAAACAUACUCAAAAACUCGUAAAUUAAUAACUAGAAACAAUUCUCGAUUCCAUAUGAAAAGUCAACAAAGUUAACCUCAAUCUCGGGCACCCAAAUGUCAAAAAUUCUUGAAGAUAAAUAUUAUCCAUAGUACCACAAACUCAAAUAUAUAAUUUAUUCCGAAUUUCAUGUCCAAUUUUGUAGUCGAAACUCAAAAAUAUAAUCUCUAGGUUUUCUUUCAAAAUCCCACAAUUUCUACCAAUUUCCAUGGUUAAAUUUAUAUAUAUAUUCUAUGUAUUUGACUCAAAAUAAGUUGGAACCACUUACCUUAUGACAGAUGAUGAAAAUGCCCUUUCAAAAUCGCCUGAAAAUCGGCUUGAAAUGAGAGAAAUGAGAUGAAAUGGGCUAAGUCUCGAUUUUGCAUCUUAUACAUUACCUAUUCAUUAAUCUUCAUGAUUGCAUAAAGAACCCUCGCGGUCGCGAAGGACAAAUAUUCUACUGCCAAAAGUUCCUCUAUCGCGAUCGCGAAAAUCCCCUCGCAAUUGUGGAGCAUUGCGCUCAAAACCUACGCCGUUUGCGUAAGGCCAAUCGCGUUUGCAUAAGGCCAAUUCCUGCCCAACCUUAAGACCCUUCAUCACAGUCACAGUCACCCAUUUAUGUUUGCAAAGAGCAACCUGCCUAGCUGCCUCCCCCUCACAAUGCAACACUCUAGUCGCGUAUGCGUAGAGCAAAAAAUGCCCGACCUCCAGUUCCUUUUCCGCAUUUGCGACUUUCCUGUCGUGUUAGCAUAACACAAAACCCUACAAUCCCAAAAUACUUCAUCACGAACGCGUGCUUCCCUCCGUGUUCACGAAGAACAACACCAGCACCAAUAUAACAACUUAACUAAUCGUUUUGUGCAUUUUAGCCCCGUUCCUCUAUUUAUUGCCUUUUCUAUGUUCACUUGAUGUUUCGUGACUUGCGAAUUUGGUUGGUUAGGUUUCAGAAAGUUUUCGGAGGAAGUUGGAACAAUUGAUGCCAUUCUUGAAAGCUUAGGUUGUGAAGGUUGACCGGAGUUUCACUUUUGUGUAGUUGACCCCAAAAUCGUAUUUUUAUUGUUCCAAUAGGUUCGUAUGGUAAUUUUAGACAUAGUUGUAUAUCUAAAUUUUGAUUUGGAGGUUCCUAGGUUAGUUUGGCUCUUUUUAGCGAAAGUUAGAAAGUUAAAGGUUUGGAAGGUUCGUAGGUUUUACUAGGAGUUGACUUUGAUAAUAUCAGGUUCAGAUUAUGGUUUCCAGAGUUAGAAUAAGUCCGCUGUGUCAUUUGGGACUUGUAUGCAAAAUUUAAGGUCAUUUUGAGUUGUUUAGGCAUGUUCGACAUAAGUUUUGAAUUUGGAAUUUAGAUUAGUUCAUUAUGUUUGAAUUGAGGUGUGAUUCGAGGUUUUGAUUUAUUUUGUGUUAUUUGAGGCCUCGAGUAGGUCCAUAUUAUGUUGUGAGAUUAGUUGGUGUGAUUGGACGGGGUCCCGGGAGCCUCGGCUGUGUUUCGGUUUGGAUUUAGAUCAUUUUCUUUUGGUUUGGAACUGGUGGUUUUCUGAUGUCCUUCGCAAUCACGGAGACUGUUUUGGUGGCAGGUAAUGUUUGCUCUUCGCGUCCGCGAUAGGGUGGUCACAUUUAUGGAGCAUGGGGGCACUGUCCUUCACGUUCAUGACCUGUGCAUCGGGUUCGCGUAGAGGAAGGUUGGCUAGGGGAUGGCUUAUGUUGUGUCAUCGCUUUCGCGUGCAUGAAACUGCAUUCGCAUAGACUCUGUAGAGGAGGACAUCGCGUUUGUGUGGAUGGUCUCAUGUCCGCAUAGAAAGGGCAGCAACUAGAAAAGGAUUUGGCCUUCGCGAUCACAGAGGGUAUCGCUCCGAUUUGGGUGAUUCUUAAGGGAAUUUUCACGAUUUGGAUUGGGACAUGUAUUUUUUUACUCUAAUUUGGUUACUAUUCAUGAUUUCGUCCUUGAUUUUAGCAUUUGAAUGAUGAAUCCAAGUGAAGAAAUUGGGAAUUUUGGGAAAAACUUAUCUAAAGUGUAAAUUCGAUAUGAACCCCGAUUUGGAGUCGAAUUGGAAAAAACUUAUAUAGUUGGACUCAUAUUGGAAUGGAUGUUUGGAGUUUGUGAGUUUUGUUCAGUUUUGGGGUGCGAGUUUGGGGUUGAAUUCACAUAUUUGUAUCAAGAUCUUAGCUUUAUUGUUUGGUGUUAUUUCCUAUGGCUUCUAUUGAUGAUAUUAAAUUAUCUUUGUUGGAUUCCAGCCGUCCGGAGGCUGAUUCAUGCGGGAUGGGAUUUUUAAAGUAUUUAUUUAUCUUAUUUGAGGUAAGUAUCUUAGAUAAACUUGGUUGAAGCACUAGUUGCCUGAAUUAUUAGUGUUAGCUAUGCCCCAUGGGUGACGCACAUGUGAGGGGAUUGAGCCCAUGUGCCUGCACCAGGGUACUAUCCAUGUUCGGGGUAGUGAUUAGGCUAUUGUAUUCUGGGGUACCAUACUUCUUAUGUUGUAUUCCCUUUAUGAGCUAUUUGAAUCAUGUUAGAGAUUAUUUGUUGGUUGAUCUCCUAUUCAAACAUAUUAGUUGCUACUCUUGUUGGCGUAAUCGCCUGACUAGAAUUGUGGUAGCACACUUCGCACAUGCCUACUCUUUAGCAUGUCACUUAUAUCAGUCCAUGAUUAAGUAAAUUGAUAUCCAUUAUUCAUGUACAUGUAUUUCUCUAUAUGCUUUAUGUGUGAUAUGGACUAGGUUGAUAGCACGUGAGUGGUCUGUGCAUAUCUGAGAUGUGUUAGCAUGUCAGUUGUCCAUGCGGGGGUUAUAUAAGGCAUGUGAGUUUUCCGUGCAGCAUGUGGAUAAGGAUCUAUCCCCCUAGGAUCACCCUCUCAUAUUUCUUUCUUUAUGGUGUACAUGCGGUAGGAGGAAAAUUGGCUAGUGUUUGAUUUGGUUAUUACAUUUCUUCUGUACUUGCAAUUUUCUUUGAUGUAUACAUGUUUUAUUUGCAUAUCUUCUCUAUAUGCUAGAUCGGUAAUGUAUACACGACUUUUUUUUUGUAUAUCUUCUCUAUACACUCAAUUUUAACUGGAAUAGAGCAUGUUACAUUAUCUUUGUUGUGUAUUAUAAUGUUAUUGUUGUGUACUUGUGAAAUUGAUUAACUGAGGAGAUUGUUAGCGAGUAUCAUGAAUAAUUCUUGACACUAAUACCUUGCCGAGAUUAGUUAUGAUACUUGUUGAGUACAUAAGAUUAGUUGUACUCAUACUAUAUUGUGCACCUAAUUGUGCAGAUCCAGGUGUUGGACCAAGCCGUGAGUAGCUGUGUUUUGUUGUUGUGGUUGUCUUCGAGAGACGAGGUAGAGUUGCAUCUCGACCUAAGUCUUUGGCACCUCUUUUCGUUUUUAGUACUGUUAUUUUCAUUCAGAUAGUAUUACCAAUUCUGGGGACUUAUGUAUUGACGUAGUUAUUUAUAUUAUUGAUUUUAGACUUGUAUUAUUUUCGUUAUUCUGUUACCUUGUUCCGCUAUUAUUAUGUUUGGCUUGCGUGGCAAGUGAGUUAGGCACCAUCACGAUUGAUAGGUAGUUUUGGAUUGUGACAAGUUGGAAUUAGAGCCCUAGGCUUAUAGGUUCUAUGGGUCAUGAGCAAGUUUAGUAGAGUCUUGUGGAUUGGUACAGAGACACUGUACUUAUCUUCGUGAGGCUACCGAACUAUUAGGAAAAUAUUACUUUCUUGCAUUUUUGUCAUGCAAAUUUGUUAAAUUCCAAAGUUUGAACCUUUACUCUUUUAUUCUCUCAAAGAGGGUGAUGACACGUUCAACCAAAUUGGAUGGGUAGGCACAAUACCUCCAAGCAGGGCUGUGAGAGGUCGGGGCCAAGGUAGAGGUUGGGGGCGAGGUAGGACCCGCACUACAGAUAGGAAAACACCUUCGGAGUCACCAGUGUCUCUACAGAAGGAGUGGUUUCAGAUAUUGUUAAGUUGGUAGGACCAGCUCAGACACUAACGACACUUGUUGCUCUACCUAGUCUUCAAGAGACUUUUGCCCAGAUCUUGAGUGUGUACACGAGCUUGGCUCAAGCGGGAAUAAUAUCAGUUCCACUAGCUACCUCUACGACUAGGGGAGGAGCCCAGACUCCCGCCGCCCGUACACCGAAGCAGCUAGCUCAGGGUUAUCAGACACCAGGGGUUUGGCUCGUUAUUGAUGCUCAGCCCGACGCUGGACCAUCUUUGACUAAUGAGGAGCGGAAGAGGUUAGAUAGAUUUCAGAGGCUUCAUCCUCCCCAGUUUAGUGGAGGAUUGUCAAAGCAUGCUCAGGGUUUUCUCGAUCAAUGUCAUCGGAUUCUUCGCACAGCGGGUCUCAUGGUUUCCAUUUCUUCACUACUUUUCAGCUCACAUGGCUAGCCUAUAGGUGGUGGAAGACUAUGAGUCAGUAAGACCGGCUGGCGCAGUACCACUUACAUGGUAUCAAUUCUAUGUUCUCUUAUUAAAGAGGUUUUUCCCACAGACUCGCAACAAAGAGUUGCGUAGGGAGUUUGAGCAUCUAUGACAGGAGGGCAUGACUAUGACCCAAUACGAGAUGAAAUUCACAAAGUUGGAGUGUCAUGCGGUAUUUUUAGUCACUAUUGAGAGGGAUGUGAGCACAUAAUUUUUACCCGAUUAAAAUACUCCUACAAAAUUCACAAAAUAGGAUUUUCUAAUUAUUUUAAUUUUUAUAGAAUUUUAGGAAUUUCUUGUUAAUUGUUGUUUGCAUUUAGUUGCAUAUUUAACAUUUUAAAAUUAUGAUAAAAAUACCAAAAAUGUCUAAAAUAUUUCAUGCAUCUUAAUUGCAUUUAGGAUUUAAUUACAUGAGUUAAUUGCAUUAUUAAAUAAAAAUCACAAAAAUAAUGAUCAUUUUUACAUAUUUAGCUUUUAGUUUUAAAAUUUGUACUUCCCUUUCAUUAGUGUUAAGUUAAUUAAUUAUGUUGAUGUUAGAAAUAGAUAAUUAAUUUAAUUUUAUAAUUUAGAAUCUAAUUUAAGGAUUUUAGUUAAUUUGUUUAGGAUAUUAAUUAAUAUAAUUAGGAUUUUAAAGUCAAAUUAAAGAAAAAGAAAAAAGGGGGAAAGAGAGAUGGUCUUGUUUUGGUCCAAUUUUGGGCUAAACGUCUUCAGUGGCCCCGUUUUGGUCACAACUAAUCCCCACCCUUCAUCUAAUCUAAUCCAACGGCUACUAACUCCCUCCCCAUCUCCCAUAAGAGUGUCCGAAACCGCCCCCCAAAUCUAAAACAAAUCUUCAUUCUUCUCCAUCUCCCUCACCUAUCCCAAACCCUAGCUGCCUCUAAAUCCCUCAUCCCCACUGGCCGGCGUUGGCGCACUAAACACCACCAAUCACCUCCAAACCUUCACCCUAUAAUCUCCAACUCCUCCCCAAUCUAAACCUCUUAUUAUUUGCUCCGAAAUCUUCACCAAAAUCAACAUAUUAUAGAUCUAAGAUUCCAAAAACUUGAGUUCUAUCCACUCUCAGAUUCUUCAUGAUUUACCGCGUAUUUUGGCUCGAAACUCAAGUUAAUCGAUUGCUCUUAAUGAGAGCUAUCAAGUUAUGUUAGCUUCGAUCCAUUUCGAAGCCACAGAAUCCAUUCGAGUUUUGGUUGGUUGGCCCGUUUUUCUCUUCCAAAUUGUUUUUAGUCGUGUAAUGCCUCCAGGUAUAACUCUUCUCAUUAUUUCCCUUUAGUUUCU